rnacentral:rRNA from 1 species
UACAGAGGGUGCAAGCGUUGUUCGGAAUUAUUGGGCGUAAAGGGCGCGUAGGCGGUGCGGUAAGUCUCUAGUGAAAUCUCCGGGCUCAACUCGGAGCCUGCUAGGGAAACUGCCGUGCUCGAGUGUGGGAGAGGUGAGUGGAAUUCCCGGUGUAGCGGUGAAAUGCGUAGGUAUCGGGAAGAACACCAAUGGCGAAGGCAGCUAGCUAGGCAAGUUCUGACACUGAGGCGCGAAAGCGUGGGGAGCGAACAGG